GCCUGGAUGGCUCAGUUCGUAGAGCAUGGGACUCUUGAUCUCAGAGUCAUGAAUUCAAGUUCACAUUGGGCA
rnacentral:tRNA from 1 species